UCCAUUUCAUGUUCUUUAGUCCUGUCCGUUCCCUCAAAUGUCAGCACAACCAAGAAUUGUUUGCUAUUAGUCAAAGUUAUUAUUAGUCAAAUAUGUCCACCAAAGUUGAACUUUACGCGAAAGCCAUGCGAAGAUGUACUUUUCCUAUCUUAAAAAUGUCUGUGUGGCUGAGACCCAACAAAUAGCCUGUAUUUGCGAACCACUUCUGUCCACAGCCAUCACACAGGGGUCUUUCCUCGAUGAACUGCAAAGACUGACAGGUCCCAAUAAAUCAGCUCCCUUGGGCCAAUAGAUGUUCACCUCAGGAUAAAGACAUUGUUAGUGUGACUGAGUCUUCCAGUACAGAGGCUGAUGUAGGUCAGUGCGUCUGGUGCCUGUCUGGAGCUGCAGAGAGCCUCCAUGCCUGGUCCUCGCCGACCCCUGCAGCGUCUGCAACCGUGCCCGAGCUGAGGACACUGCUCCCUGGGCUAUGUGAGGACACGACCAGCCCGCCUGACCUGACCUGGAGGAGGAUGUGCCUGCAACAGAGGAGGACGGGGGUGUGAGUAUAUCCACUCCUGUGCUGCUCCAUACGGAUCCAGGUCUGAGAGAUGUCCCCUCCUGAAAAUGCAGAAUAUGAAAAGUGUCUGCCCUCCACGCGUUGUAUGUCGAUUGCCCUUUUGACAGAAGCCAAUGAGCGCAAGGACGACAAAUUUAGCAAAAGAACAAAAAGCUUUGUUGACGACUUCUCCAUCUUCUGAUUUUGCUCUUCUUUGCUUCCCUUUCCCCCCACUUCUUCUCCUCUGCUCUCAUUCUCCGCUCCUUCCCACUCCUCUGGCUUUUAGACAAUGCCCCCCCAAAAAAACGAUCGUUGUAUCAGUGUCUGAGUGUAGUAGAGUGCAGCUGUGAGAGUGGCUGAGUGUGUGCGAAGGAGUGUGUGCACGUUUGUGAGUGAGUUUGAUGUGUGUGUGUUUGUGUGUGUGAGAGAGUGUGUGUCUGCGCUCUCGAUAUGACUCUGCAGAACGUCUGGGUCCUGCAGCAGUACACUGGUACUUAGCUGGCUCUGUCUCGCCGUGAGUUUGUGUGUGUUUAUGCAUUUGUGUGUCUGCAUGGAAGCGCGUGUUCAUGUGAGUUUGUCUGCAUUGCCGUGACACAGCAAUCAUCUGACCUGCCUCGUCAUCACUAUCCGGGGCGAGGGAUGCUGGGAGUUCCCGGGGCGUGGCGUUGCCGUCCUGACCACACCUCCAUCUUGAGCUCAUUCUUUCAUCCGUUUCCCUUCAUUUGACUCUCAUCGCUCCCCCCCCACCAUGACUGAAUCCUCUGGAUUGCAGCAGUGAUGGAGGGGAAAGCGAGUCAGGAGGCGAGGACUCUCAAAUCGCUCCAUUCCCACAACAAAUGUCUCAGCCUUUCUCCUGCUUUGCAGUAACUUUUUAUUUUGCCUCUGUUUUGUUCAUGUUGUACAAUCAAGGACGCUCUCUCUUUUUGUCUUUGCAUCUACAUGACACUCACUCGUUCUUGCUCUGUACCACUUUGUCUGUUUCUGUGUCUCCAGGAUUUUGAAAUAUGAUGGGAGGAAGGAAGGACAUAUGGAUCAAGAAAGAACAGAAGGAUCUUUCUGUUGAAAGUUUUUAGCAAUCUAAAAAAUUGCUAACUACUUUUUCUGUCCAAAUAAUAAGCUUGAUUAUUAAAACUAUAGACGGAAGGAGAAAAAGAAGAGUUGUGGUCAUCAAGAGAGGGUAUUCGGUGGGUAUACAAAGUAACAUGUAUCCAUACAUUAUAAAGUCAUUCGUUACAACAACACUACAAAUUAAGGCCUUAAAAACUACUAAGAGGUGAGCCUGACAGCUUUAAUGUCAGGGUUAUUAUAUUGGAUUGCAUUAUAUUGUAAGGUGUUCCUGUUAUUUUGCCCACUUACACAUUUCAAAGUAUGAUUAAAAGCAAUUAUCUCAUC